AUCAGUGACACAACUGGACCAGGAAAAUUAACUAAUUAAGUGAAACAGUGAUAUUGAUCAACUGCCAUUUGAUACUGAUGUCAUAAUUUAGAGACUGGUUGUAGCAGCUCAGCUGCUACAUACUGCUUUGAAGUAAUAUGAAAUGAAUUAUUACAAGGUAUAAGGGAAAAAAACCUACCAUAUUCUGAUGUCACAGGAUGACAAGACACACCAGCCACUGUCCACAAAUGGAAGGAAACAUGGGGACAAACCCUGUGUUCACAAGCAGUAAAGUGCUGUAUCAAUAAACACAGACCUACAACAAGAAAUUAGAAUUAACUUCUCAAGAAAUACUGCAUUAGACACUGACUUUCAGUGAGUUAAAUGAAGAUAAAUAAAAUUGUUCUAUAAAUCUGAAUGAUAUAAAGGCUGUAUAUAAGCAAUAUUUUGUAAAAGUGUGUACAGUAAAGUCAAAGUGGAAGUAGAAGUUUCAGUUACAGUAUUAAGAGAUGGAUGAAUAAUGCACAACCAUGUAAGCAAAAUAUAACAA